CCAGAUGGCGACGAUGAUCGAUGGACCUCCGCCUGCCGCCGAAUACGUGGGAUCGCACAACGUGCUGUCCGUCGGAACGGCGCGAGAGUUGGAUGAGAGAAGGGCUGAACAAGACUCUAGCUAGUAGAAUCGUAGUAGUAAUAACUAACUCCAUCGUCUCUCCGCUGUUGGAAUGAAUUUUAAGUUUGUGUACGGGUUCACCUCCAAGGAUUACCCGCAACCGUCUAGAAUCAUGAGCAACACGUUCAGAAAGCUCUCCGUGGACACUAGGUUCAAAGAAGCCGGCCGCCGCGUUCUUCGAGAUGGACGCCGACAACUUCCAGGAUCUGGCGCAGAAAUACAAGCUGGACGUGUACCCUGCGUUCCUGGUGCUGGACCCCAAGGACACCGACAAGGAGGUGGGCGCCAGGGUCACCGGCGUGAAUUUUUUUAUUUUUAACCUAUUUUUCAAUUUUAUUUUAAAAAUAACCCACCCGGAUAUAUAUUUGCAAAUCUAACCCUUUUGAUCGCGCCGAUCUGCGUGGCGUGACAAAAACACGCUGUCGCGCCACAUGCAUUGGCGUGACAAGAUGUGCCACGUUGGCACACUUCGGAGCACUCGGAAGGGGUCUGUCAGCUCAUAUUCCACGUGCCAAC